AUUGAACGCUGGCGGCAGGCCUAACACAUGCAAGUCGAACGAGUGGCGGACUGGUGAGUAAUGUCUGGGAAACUGCCUGCUGGAGGGGUAUAACUACUGGAAACGGUCGCUAAUACCGCAUCCCAUCAGAUGUGCCCAGAUGGGAUUAGCUAGUUGGUGGGGUAACGUCUCACCUAGGCGACGAUCCCUAGCUGGUCUGAGAGGAUGACAAGACACACUGGAACUGAGACACGGUCCAGACUCCUACGGGAGGAAGCAGUGGGGAAUAUUGCACAAUGGGCGCAAGCCUGAUGCAGCCAUGCCGCGUGUAUGAAGAAGGCCUUCGGGUUGUAAAGUACUUUCAGCGGGGAGGCGUUACCCGCAGAAGAAGCACCGGCUAACUCCGUGCCAGCAGCCGCGGUAAUUC
rnacentral:rRNA from 1 species